rnacentral:lncRNA from 14 species
AUAGCAUUCAGUGGAAUUACUCAUGCUGAACCCAGACACAGAAGGGUGCGUAAACACACAGCCACACUUUUAAUUAAAGAUGUGCUGAGAUAAAAAGCUUCAGAAAAUCAUUUUCAACAAUUAAAUAUAAUAUUAGAGGUGUUUGCUGCCCAUCUGCAUGUGUCCUGAGCAGCUGGGGAGGCUCGAGGUAUUAUUGCCAUCACAGGACUGACCGCGCAUCCAGGCUCUUCGCUCCAAAGAGUUAAGAUUUCACUUGUCAGGCUGUUUUUGUUUCUAUUCACAUGUCAGUGCCUGUCAUUUAUUUAGUCAAUGGGACAUGUCCAAAGGAUGGAGACAGACUGGGUUAGUCAUUCUGACCGUGGGUCGCCAGUCACUGCAAACUGCCUGAGGUCAUUUCCAAAAGCGCCACUAACAAUGAGAGGGAAGCUGGGCCCGGGAGACCUGCAGGAAACGGCGCGGAGAUUAAAGACAGAGAUAGUCCUUUGCAAAAGUACACUGGAGGAAUGUUCCCUAUGUUCUGUCAACAGAGUUUCUUCCUCGCUCAAGACUGUCUAUUUUAAGUCUGAGCUCGCACCAAAAAUGGAAAUCCUUGCUCAAUGGCUAUCAGUGGAUCUUGGGAUGCUGGGGCUGCAGCAGCGCUACGGCCGAGGAAAUGAACCCUCCAGCUUGGCCUUUGCUGCUGGAGCAGCUUUAAACAAUUCCUCUUGCAGCAGCAGCUCUCGGCUGGGUUUGCUCCUUUGCCUGGUUAAACCCACCUGGAGCCCAUGGUACCCACCGUGUGCUGCCUGUGAGCAUCAGGCAUUGUCCCACCGGUGUACCACAGGCACUGCGCCUGGCUCCAGGGAUGCCAUCCCAGCCCAUGCAGGGCAGCAGAAAGCAGAGGAGGGUGGCAAGGGCCACAGUUCAGGCUCAAUCCACACUUCCAGGACAUUCUCCUGCUUUAAGGAAGGGAAUGGAAGAGAAGCAUUGAAACGCAACCAUAAGUAUUUGCUGCUGCAUCUUGGGCUGAAAUCAAGCCCCGUGACUGCAGAUUUGGGGGGAAU